ACGUAGGAGGCGAGCGUUAUCCGGAUUUACUGGGCGUAAAGCGCGUGUAGGCGGACGAGCAAGUUGGAUGUGAAAGCUCCUGGCUUAACUGGGAGAGGUCGUUCAAAACUGCCCGUCUUGAGUACAGUAGAGGGAAGUGGAAUUCCGGGUGUAGUGGUGAAAUGCGUAGAUAUCCGGAGGAACACCAGUGGCGAAAGCGGCUUCCUGGACUGGUACUGACGCUCAGACGCGAAAGCUAGGGUAGCAAACGGGAUUAGAGACCCCGGUAGUCCUAGCUGUAAACGAUGUAGACUUGGCGUAGGAGGGUUUAAAUCCUUCUGUGCCGCAGCUAACGCGAUAAGUCUACCGCCUGGGGACUACGGCCGCAAGGUUA
rnacentral:rRNA from 1 species